rnacentral:ncRNA from 1 species
AACCUGUAUUCUGAACUGUCACCGGACGGUGGCGUGGCUAGGACAUCUAGCAUAGGAACGUGGUUGGGA